AACGCGAAGAACCUUACCUGGGCUCGAAAUGCUAGUGAAUCCGGCAGAAACGUCGGCGUCUCGCAAGAGACACUAGUAUAGGUGCUGCAUGGCUGUCGUCAGCUCGUGUCGUGAGAUGUUGGGUUAAGUCCCGCAACGAGCGCAACCCUUGUCCUGUGUUGGCAUGCCGCAAGGCGCAACUCUCAGGAGACCGCCAGCGAUAAGUUGGAGGAAGGUGGGGAUGACGUCAAGUCAUCAUGGCCUUUAUGUCCAGGGCCACACACGUGCUACAAUGGGCGGUACAAAGCGCUGCCAACCCGCGAGGGGGAGCUAAUCGCCAAAAACCGUCCUCAGUUCGGAUUGCAGGCUGCAACUCGCCUGCAUGAAGCUGGAAUCGCUAGUAAUGCUAUAUCAGAACGAUAGCGUGAAUACGUUCCCGGGCCUUGUACACACCGCUCGCGA
rnacentral:rRNA from 1 species